CAGAGACGAACAUUUUACAUUCAGCCUCAGAAGACAAAGGUGCAACCCAACCCUCCACUGUACAGCUCUCAGGACCAGAGCCUGUCUUCUCCAGACUACAAGAUGAGAACUGCAGUAUGUGCCAUCCUUCUCCUGAUGCUUCUGUGUCAAGGAGAAGCUCUGACAUGCAACAAAUGCUUUGGACCUGGGAGAGGAAUGUGCAGUCCUACCUCCACA